UGCACCGUAGCGCAGAGGUUAACGUGACAGAUUAUGACGCUGAACGCCUGGGUUCGAAUCCUGGCAAGGCAA
rnacentral:tRNA from 1 species